rnacentral:rRNA from 1 species
CAGCAGCCGCGGGAAUACGUAGGGUGCAAGCGUUAAUCGGAAUUACUGGGCGUAAAGCGUGCGCAGGCGGUUAUAUAAGUCAGAUGUGAAAUCCCCGGGCUCAACCUGGGAACUGCAUUUGUGACUGGCAAGCUAGAGUCUGGCAGAGGGGGUGGAAUUCCGCGUGUAGCAGUGAAAUGCGUAGAUAUGCGGAGGAACACCGAUGGCGAAGGCAGCCCCCUGGGCCAACACUGACGCUCAUGCACGAAAGCGUGGGGAGCAAACAGGAUUAGAUACCCCAGUAGUCCCUGUCUCUUAUACA